CCAGGGAUAAUUAGCUUGACCUAAUUUACAUUCCUCAGUCAGAACUCUGGUCUUCUAUCCCAGUUCAUAUUCUUAUUGGUAUGAAUAAUUUGUAAAUACAUUUCAUGUGUGUGCUGUGCUUUUUUAAUAAAAGCUGGAACUCUGAAAUAGUGAUCCUACAAGUUGCCAGUAAGAAGCAUGUGUCUUGUCUCUUUGCUGAGGUCUUGGUUGGAGUCAUGCAAAUUUAAGUCAUGCUAAGGAGCCAUAUUCAUUUAAAUGUAUUACCAGUGGAACAGGCUGGUUAGUAUAUUUUG